GUAGCAGUAUGUAAAUAUUAUUCAGAACAAAAUCCAAAUAAACUAAAGGAAGCAAAAAAGGAAUUUAAGUGGAAAUUAAUUACAAAUACUUAAAGUUUAAAAGGUCUAGUCAUAUAGUUUGAGUUAAUGAAACAAGAAUUAAGUGCAUUUUGUUUUUACUCUUUGCAUCAAUUUUUAAGUAUUUAGAGGUUUUUAUUUUCAUUUUAUCCUUCUAAAACCACAUUUCAAUGGAGAUUGUUGCCUAAUUACUGCUUUGCUAAAUUAUAUACACAGAAUUUAUUUUUAAGACUAAGUGAAAAAUGGUAGAUUUCUGCCUCGCCAAAGAAACUGUUAUUUCUUCAUAUCAGAAACAAAUUAAUUAUCUGAAGCAGUAUUUUGAUAUUUUUAUCAUUAUUAAGCAAAGAUAUAUACUCUCAGGGUUCUGAUGAAGAACCAUAAGUAUAUAUAAUUUAUUCAUGAUAAACAAUUUUUAGUGUUUGUCAGGUCUUCAGAAGUAACUAGUUUUUAUCUUAAUAAUAGUUAAAUCAAAGGCUUUUAUAUUCAGAUACCAAAAGUUCCCCAAAGAGAAGCUUACUCAAAGACAUUGUUAGAUUAUGUAUACGAGUGUAUGUAUAUGUGUGUGUAAUUUCUCACUAUAAAUGUAAAAUAAAUAUAUAGAUUGUUUAGCAAAUGGAUAUUCUUAGGAAGAUAUUAACAAGCUUUUAAUGGUGCUGUCAUUUUUGUCAUGCUAAGGGUGGAAUAUUAACUGUCAUAUCUAUUAUGUGAUGAAAAGUCUUUGGGGAACAUGCCAAUGUCGUAUGUAUGUGAUAACCAUGAGCAUGUUGUCUCUGGCUAAAUUAUGGAGAUGAUGGUAGUGGCACCAUGCCAUUCUAAUGGUGCCUUAUCUGGUCUACUGUGACAAAUAAUUCCACUCAGCUUGUCAGUGAUGACAGCUGAGACUUUUUGCUUAGAUGCCUUGACAGUUCUUGUAUUAAACAGCCAGAGCCAUACACUCCAUUAAGUUUCUGUAAAAUGAACUGUCUGCUUCUUGCUGUUUUGCUGAUAGUGGCAGCAGUUGUAAGCUAAUCCUCUCCAGUUGUGGAUUGCUCGACUCAGUGCUUUCACUCAUCGACAGGUAGUAGAUCUCAUAGUUUUAGUGGGGUGGCUACACGGCUGAUAGCUAUGAUAGGCAGAUGGAAUUUAUUUCAAAGUAGAUAUCUUUUAACAGCUACUUACUCUAAAUUAGGCUGCCAAAAUAUUCCUAAAUAGGAGAAAACCGACUUUUUAGAUGAUGGAAAAAAAUUGAUUUUUUUUCCCCCAGUGCACAAUUAUUCAUAGGCCCUUGGUACAAAGGACAUAAACAUGAGAGAGGAGUGUCUGUGUGGGAAUGUCUAUAUGCAAGUGUGUAAGGGUGUGUGUGUGUGUGUGUGUGUGUGUAUGUGUAUGUGUGUGUGGGAGGGUGAGUCUGUCCACUAACAAAAAGUAUGCAUUCCUAAGUAUAUGAAAGUGCAUUUAAGAGAAAGUAAAUGAAUACUUUCUUCCUUUUUUUAUUUUUUGUAAGCAAAACUACAUCAUUGGAGAUACUGAUACCUGAUUGUUUUCAACAAAAGAGGAAAAUAUAA
rnacentral:lncRNA from 1 species